UCCCCUGUAGCUCAGUUGGUUAGAGCGGUGGACUGUUAAUCCAUGUGUCGUCUGUUCAAAUCAGACCAGGGGAGCCA
rnacentral:tRNA from 10 species